AAAUUGAAGAGUUUGAUCAUGGCUCAGAUUGAACGCUGGCGGCAGGCCUAACACAUGCAAGUCGAACGGUAACAGGAAGCAGCUUGCUGCUUUGCUGACGAGUGGCGGACGGGUGAGUAAUGUCUGGGAAACUGCCUGAUGGAGGGGGAUAACUACUGGAAACGGUAGCUAAUACCGCAUAACGUCGCAAGACCAAAGAGGGGGACCUUCGGGCCUCUUGCCAUCGGAUGUGCCCAGAUGGGAUUAGCUAGUAGGUGGGGUAAAGGCUCACCUAGGCGACGAUCCCUAGCUGGUCUGAGAGGAUGACCAGCCACACUGGAACUGAGACACGGUCCAGACUCCUACGGGAGGCAGCAGUGGGGAAUAUUGCACAAUGGGCGCAAGCCUGAUGCAGCCAUGCCGCGUGUAUGAAGAAGGCCUUCGGGUUGUAAAGUACUUUCAGCGGGGAGGAAGGGAGUAAAGUUAAUACCUUUGCUCAUUGACGUUACCCGCAGAAGAAGCACCGGCUAACUCCGUGCCAGCAGCCGCGGUAAUACGGAGGGUGCAAGCGUUAAUCGGAAUUACUGGGCGUAAAGCGCACGCAGGCGGUUUGUUAAGUCAGAUGUGAAAUCCCCG
rnacentral:rRNA from 1 species